GUCCACGCUGUAAACGAUGAUCAUUAGAUGUUGGGUCCGCUUUAGGGCUCAGUGUCGCAGCUAACGCGUUAAAUGAUCCGCCUGGGAAGUACGGUCGCAAGAUUAAAACUUAAAGGAAUUGACGGGGGUCCGCACAAGCGGUGGAACAUGUGGUUUAAUUCGACACUACGCGAGAAACCUUACCUAGACUUGACAUGUAUUUGACAGCUACGGAAACGUAGUCUUCUAAGCUUCGGUUUAGACUUUUACACAGGUGCUGCAUGGCUGUCGU
rnacentral:rRNA from 1 species